GUUAACAUCUCUUCAGCACAAAUGCCUGCAAGAACAGUCCAGGGACAAACUGUCUUUGUGGAUAUUUCAAUAUUGCUGCCUCUUUCUGUGCAGGCAAGAAAGGAUUCCUUUCCAAAAUGGGAAAGAAAAGUGCAACAUUCUGGAUAUUUCUAAAGGAGAAAAAUAAGCAGACCUCCUUACUAUGGGCUUGGCCAAGUGUUGGUGCUGGCACAGAGGGAAUGAUGGUGUGGCUAUAGACUUGACCUGUGGAAGGCAGAGGCUGGCAGCACAGAUCUUUCUGGAAACAGCUAGCUGUUAGAUUGCCAGACACAUCAUAAAAGUGCCCAAGUUACCUAUGCAGCAGCAGACUGCAGCAGAAGGUAUUUUUAUCCUCAGCAUUUGGUACAGCAACAACGCAUCUCACAAAAGAAAUCCAACAUCGGUUCUGAUCGUAUUUAAACUAUCAGGAACUGAGUCAUAUCCCAGUCUGGAAGGAGGAGUGGAUAAGGAACCAGUUUCCCUUUCACAGCAAAAAGAACCAUGAAUUUAAGUUAUUUUUCUUGCUUUGAAGUCCUAUAUACCUUGGCAAUAAAUUGCAGCAUCAUGUCAGAUCUUCCAAAUGGGAUGGGAGCAGCCCACAGAGCCUACGGACCACACUUCCUGCACAGACUGCCUCCUGCCUGCCAACCAUGGCAGCACCGGGGUGACUUGGGCUUCAAGAUAUUUGCAGUGAUCCAACAGAGGCUGAAUAGGACAGCUACAGUCCAGGGGCUUAGAGCAAAUGUGGUCUGUCUCCACAGCAGAAGACCUUUUGAAGAUCUAGAUCAUGUUAAAUCUAUUCACAGAGGAUAAUGCUUUAUCCUGGAAGUAGCCUGUGUUACUUCUUGAGGAGAAAUAUGCUACUGAGCAUAAACGAGGUGGCAGAUGCUGUCUGUGGCAGUAAGAGAUAGCUGAGAUUGAGCUGUGAGCUGGUUCACUUGGAAACUAUUGCUUGGGUAUGAGCCAGGUGUCUAUUUUGGGUCACUCCAUAGGCAGGAGCUGCCUGUAGUCAAGCCGGAC